rnacentral:rRNA from 1 species
AUUGAACGCUGGCGGCAGGCCUAACACAUGCAAGUCGAGCGAGCGGCGGACGGGUGAGUACUGUAUGGGGACUGCCCGAUAGAGGGGGAUAACUACUGGCAAAGGUAGCUAAUACCGCAUACUAUCGGAAAACCCAUAUGGGAUUAGCUAGUUGGUGAGGUAAUGGCUCACCAAGGCGACUAUCCAUAGCUGGUCUGAGAGGAGGAUCAGCCACACUGGGACUGAGACACGGCCCAGAAUCCUCGGGAGGCAGCAGUGGGGAAUAUUGCACAAUGGGCGCAAGCCUGAUGCAGCCAUGCCGCGUGUAUGAAGAAGGCCCUAGGGUUGUAAAGUACUUGCAGCGGGGAGGCGUUACCCGCAGAAGAAGCACCGGCUAACGCCGUGCCAGCAGCCGCGGUAAUUC